rnacentral:rRNA from 1 species
UGGAGCUUUAAACCCAACAACAGCCCAAACACCACCACCCCAAAAAGUUUUAAGGGUAUUGCUAGUUGGUUUUAGGUUGGGGUGACCGCGGAGUAUAAACUAUCCUCCACGACGAACGGGCCUACCCCCUUACCCAAGAGCUACGCCUCUAAGGAUUAACACAUUAACGUAAAAUGAUCCAAAUAUUUGAUCAACGAACCAAGUUACCCUGGGGAUAACAGCGCAAUCCAUUUUUAGAGCC